rnacentral:tRNA from 1 species
CGAUCCUACUAAUUACGUAGAACCAUGAACCAUCGAUCGAGUGAGUUCGAGGUGGUUCAUGCUUUCUAUAUAACUCGCUGUACGCUAAGGCAAAGGUUGUAACCAUGCGUCAUGCGUGCCGUAAGCGGGCUCUGGUGGGGGAACCCGUAGGAAGGGGGGACGACCCGCCGAAUUCACAUCAGAAAUCGCCAGAACACAAACGAAAUCUUGAAUUGCGUAUAGAAAUAAAAGAACCACUUCUAUUCUCGGAGCUGAGGUAUAUGAAGAAUGGCUUUUUGGUCCCUUUCGUCCAGUGGUUAGGACAUCGUCUUUUCAUGUCGAAGACACGGGUUCGAUUCCCGUAAGGGAUGGCUACUCUUUCCCGGCCGCUUUCAGUUAGUGUUCAUUGCUGAGUGAUCGCUCGCUAUCUGGCUUGAAAAGGUGGUCCGGAAGCUUUCUCUCUCCCAGCAAGCAAGACGAGAUCACCACUUCUCUCAGUAAUGGACUUCCUUUAAUUCUUCCUUAGCCUUAGAUGUCCUAUCAUAGAUUAUCGAACCUCCGACAGACAGAAUCCCCAUGCAUGCGUUCUUUCUCUCCUCCCCUCAGCCAUACAUCUCUUUUUUUUUCUUUUGGCCGUUUUUCUUAGGCAUUGAACCCCACCUUAGGUGCUGAGUGGUGUCCUCCCCUCCCUAAUACCUAAAAAAAAGUUCCGUCUAUGGAGCUUAAAGCUUAAACCAUGGCAUGCUUGACUCAGAAUUGGCAGCAGUAAGUUGGCCUAGUCUCUUGCCCAGCCUUCGCCUUCUUCAGUGGCCAAGUUGAAGCGUUCAACGGUUCUUCGGCCUACCACCUUUCUUUUUCAAGGUUGAGCUUGUUCAAUGGAAGCUAAUGCUAUGCUGCCCUUCCCUUGUUCACAACAGAGAAGGCGAGGACUUUCUUUUAGCUACCGGCCCAAACAAAAGAGAUUAGCCUCUUGAUCGAUCGAUUGAUUGGAUUGCAGUACGAAGGGGUUUAAGAAGGAGGCAUUGGAGAGAAGUAGGCAUGGUGGCCAACCAAGGCAGUGAAAUCGAGACAAUCAGUCAAGUUAGGAAGAGGGUUUAGUUAGGAGUCCGGGUUCCAUCCUAUAAGUUGAAGGAAGGGAGCAAAGGAAGUUCUCUUUGCCCUUAGUCUUGGGUUCAGUGAAUAGGGAACUUAGGUUUGUCUUAUUCCCUAGCUGAGUGAAUAGGCCGAUCUUUCGUAUAGUGAUAACGCUUUCUCUUUCUUAUAGGGGUCUCUUUUCUCUGACUUGACUCAGCUUGACCUACUUGACUCAGCGGUUAGAGUAUCGCUUUCAUACGGCGAGAGUCAUUGGUUCAAAUCCAAUAGUAGGUAAGGCCGAAAGCCCUGCUUUUGCCAGCAUGACAGCAAGCACGGAUUCCGACUGGCGGAGUUGAAUGACCAAAGCAUCGUCCGCAUGCGAAUCCGCCAUUCAUUCACUCUUGCUACUGUUCUCGAAUAGGCUCUUUCGAGUUCAGGUUUGAAUGAAGGAAUAAAAUCUUUUGCCAUUUAUCUAUCUAGCUGGCUCGCUAACUGCUAGUCUUUCAUUGGAAGAACUGCUAGGUUUUAUCUUCUCCUAUGGGGAGAACUAAGAGGCCUAGUCUUCUUACUCGUAUUCUAUAUUAGGGCACUCUUUCUUGGCUUGGGGAAAGAUCGUAGGCAAGGGAAACCUCGCCAACCCAUUCUCUCGCUCCUUUAGAUAGCUUUACCCUAGCACUUGAACUGGAUUGGAUAGGACUUCAACUAAAUAGGGAAAAAAAAUCUUUCAUUUUCUUUCUAGAAGCUCUUUUUUUCUACCCUUAUAACUAGUGUCACUUGCUUGAUCACUUCGGUCGGUGAUGGGGUUAUGCCAGAGGGACAGCAAUCAAUUCACCGGGUAAGAAAAGUACCGUUACACCUACCCUUUUAGUAUGACUAGACCCAAUUGUAUCACUAUACCCAGAACUAGUUGUCUACCUAGGGAUAUGCCAUUUACGGGGAAUAAGAAAGGAGCUAGUAAGAGAUUGUGACUUCUUACGCCAAUCCUAGUACUACUUAUUAAUUACUGCUAUAAAUAUUCUAACGGGUAGAAUGAUUAGCUCUUAGACCUGUUCAAACUCUUAGACAGGGUAGGACUACUUUUUAAAUGAUAGGCCUUUAACUUCUUUGCUUGGUAGCUCAGUCUUAUAGAAUAUGCUAUAGAUUCUCAAUACAUCUUUCCUUUGCACUGAAAGCUGGCUAGCCUAAAAUAUCUACUUGAACUACUGAAAUGGGAUCUAGCCUUUGGGCUUAGUUCAGAGUUCUUCUAGGCUUCUUUCUUAAUCAGGAAAAGCCCUUUACGCUUUGAGCCGGGUAUGAAUCAAAUAAAAAAAAGUGAAUCCGGAUCCUUCGCCACCUUCUCUCCUUGGUUCUGAGAUUGUAAGGAUGUCUGCCCUCCUUUCUCUUCAAAUUAAACCGGCAUACUGAAAUCGAUUGCACUAAGGGGCUUCGAUUUUGCUGAAAGAAGGACUUCGUUGAAAAAUAGAAAGAUCUUGGUUACAUCUCGCGUACUUGCCCAUAUUACUUAUAUAUGGGGUGACCCACUUCUACUUACGCUGAUUCCAAAGCUGCUCCCAUUCCUCAAAUAUAGGCAGCAGAGUCAACCCCUCCUUCGGUCGGUUCAUGAGCUGCCAAAAGCUAACUCUACGCUCGGUAGCUACCGGAGUUGCUUCGCUCCCCAACUCGUUUAAGUCAACUGAUGCCAUGGGUCAUUCCCUUGUUUACGAAACUGGGCUAUGAAAAGCAUCGAGAAAGAGGAGUGGAAAAACUACCUUCCCAGUCUAUCGGGACUCUACCUAUACUCCCUUAAUCCCGUUCCUUCUAGGCGAGUAAGGGCAUAAACUUCUAUAAAAAAAAAAGAAAGAAAAACUCACGAAGAAAGCACCGGUAAGGUUGUACCUAAGCCUAAGGGCUGGCCUUUACUGGAUCUAAUUCCCUCUGCGAGCUACCGGAUCUAAUGCACCAUUCUUCGGCCUAUUACGAACAGUUUCGAUGUACCAGAUCGUCUUGUCUUUCAUCAAUCUUCGGCAGGAGUUUGAUGCGGGGAUUCCCAGCUUUAGUGGGCAUCGCCCUAUACUUAGCG